UACGUAGGGGGCAAGCGUUGUCCGGAAUUAUUGGGCGUAAAGAGCGCGUAGGCGGUCCGAUAAGUCGGCUGUGAAAGUCAAGGGCUCAACCCUUGAAAGCCGGCCGAUACUGUCGGACUAGAGUCCGGAAGAGGCAAGUGGAAUUCCCGGUGUAGCGGUGAAAUGCGCAGAUAUCGGGAGGAACACCGGUGGCGAAGGCGGUUCUCUGGGCCUUACCUGACGCUGAGGAGCGAAAGCGUGGGGAGCGAACAGG
rnacentral:rRNA from 1 species